rnacentral:rRNA from 1 species
CCUACGGGUGGCAGCAGUGGGGAAUAUUGGGCAAUGGGCGCAAGCCUGACCCAGCAACGCCGCGUGAAGGAAGAAGGCUUUCGGGUUGUAAACUUCUUUUCUCAGGGACGAAGCAAGUGACGGUACCUGAGGAAUAAGCCACGGCUAACUACGUGCCAGCAGCCGCGGUAAUCCGUAGGUGGCAAGCGUUAUCCGGAUGUACUGGGUGUAAAGGGCGUGUAGGCGGGAAAGCAAGUCAGAGGUGAAAACCAUGGGCUCAACCUGUGGCCUGCAUUUGAAACUGUUUUUAUUGAGUACUGGAGAGGCAGACGGAAUUCCUAGUGUAGCGGUGAAAUGCGUAGAGAUUAGGAGGAACACCAGUGGCGAAGGCGGUCUGCUGGACAGCAACUGACGCUGAGGCGCGAAAGCGUGGGGAGCAAACAGGAUUAGAUACCCCAGUAGUC